rnacentral:rRNA from 1 species
ACUCAAAUGAAUUGACGGGGGCCCGCACAAGCGGCGGAGCAUGUUGCUUAAUUCGAUGCAACGCGAAGAACCUUACCUAGGCUUGACAUGCAAGGAAAUCUCACAGAGAUGUGAGGUCCGCAAGGGCCUUGCACAGGUGGUGCAUGGUUGUCGUCAGCUCGUGUCGUGAGAUGUUGGGUUAAGUCCCGCAACGAGCGCAACCCUCGUCCUAUGUUGCCAGCAAGUAAAGUUGGGGACUCAUAGGAGACCGCCGGGGUCAACUCGGAGGAAGGUGGGGAUGACGUCAAAUCAUCAUGCCCCUUAUGUCUAGGGCUGCAAACAUGCUACAAUGGCCGGUACAAAGGGCUGCGAAACCGCGAGGUGGAGCGAAUCCCAUAAAGCCGGUCUCAGUUCGGAUUGGGGUCUGCAACUCGACCCCAUGAAGUCGGAGUCGCUAGUAAUCGCAGAUCAGCAUUGCUGCGGUGAAUACGUUCCCGGGCCUUGUACACACCGCCCGU